rfam:Zea mays cultivar B73 chromosome 8, whole genome shotgun sequence.
UCGUAAAUGAUGAUCUUACUCGGAUUGCCCCUUCAGGACAUCUAAAUGGAUGAUGCAACGCUCAGGCUUCG